GGCUGCUAGGCGCUCACCAGAACUCCAGUAAGUGCCCAAGUUUCCUCAAGCAGCUGAUCAUUGGGAGUGCCUAUUUGAAAAUCCUGGAAAACCCUUUAACAGCAUCACAAUGAUGAGGAGAGUAGUCGUAUGUGUCAUGUGACAUUACAGGAAAGACUGAGGUGCGGUGUGCAGUAAAUGUCACCUCUCCUCAGACACCUGAUGAUACAAGGUGCAGGGCACACAGCACACCAUGAUGUGGACUACUAGCAGGACUAUCCUUCCAGGACUCUUACUAGUCACCAUUAUUACAGAUGUGCAGGCAGAUUCUCAGGUGUCACAGGAUCCAGAGCUUCACAUUACAGAAGACCAAGAUGUCUCCCUGAAAUGUACUCACACAAUAACAACUUACCAGAUUCUGGUCUGGUACAAGCAACUCCCUGGACUCGGACUGGACAUCUGUGCUUAUGGUAUAGAUACACCUAACAACCUGCACUCCAAAUACUCUAUGACCAUGGAGAGAAGCUCUCUAAGUACUCAGCUUCAUAUAAAGAAUGUGAAGGGGGAGGACACAGCCGUGUAUUACUGUGCAGUGAGUGACACACUAGCAAGAAUUGCUCAAAAAUGCACUUACUAUUUUAGAGAGCAAGAUACAAAGAAGAUGGCAUCUGCCCCAAUAAGGGAUCAUUUCUGGACCCUUUUUAAACCUUAA